rnacentral:lncRNA from 1 species
AUGGCGGUGGGGAUUGGGGGUGACAGGGAGGCGGCGACUGGGGACACCAAGGAGGAGGUGAUUGGGGCCAAGCAUCUGGUGGAUAUUGGGCGAAGGAAGAAGAGUUAUGCAAGCAACUCCUUGCCCAAAACCCCAAGGGGAAUCCUGCGCGUCGUCCCUUUCGUCCUACUCAGGAGCGAGGCUAGUGUGGUGGAAACUGGGAUGACUGAGGAAGCCAUUGAUGAGCUUGCUAUUGUUUGGGUCAAAAUCUUUGGCAUUCCCAAGUCAGCUAGAAAUGAGGAUGCAGUGAAAGCUAUAGUUGAGCUGGUGGGUGAGUUUGAGGCUCUUGACAACUUGUCUUUGAGGAGAGAUGGUCCUGUGAGAGUGAGGGUGGCUUGUAAAGACCCUAGAGAGCUUCACUUUGUGAUACAUGUCUACAUUAACAAAGUGGGAUAUAAGAUUAGAUGGGAAUCGGAGGGAUUUGCCCCCUAUGAGAACAAAACUCAUCCCCUCCAGAGAAUGGAGAUGAUGAUGACAAAGGACAUGAAUGUCGAUGAAGACUUCAAUAACCAAAGCCCUGUGAGAGGUCGACAGAACAAGGAUAACAGCUCUCAGAUGGGGGGUAGGGGUCAGCUGCACUCUGCUCCCCCAGCAUACAAAGGGAAAACUUAUCAACAAGAUUCAUGCAGAAGUUUGGUAAAAAAGAUGGCAUGCAAGAAGCUGAGCCUGUUGGAGUGUGUUGACUCUGGGAGUAAGGAUCUCGUUCUUUGGGAGGGUGAACCAGAGGAAGUGCAAGAAUCUCAAGAGUUGGAGCUGCCUCUCAGUGGUCAGUUCACCCUGAGAGGAGGAGAUGAGGAAAAAAUGAUCUCAACUGAUGACUCCCAAGAGAAAUGUGACAUCCCUACCUUGUCAGAUAUUGAGAGGUUGAGGGAGGAAGAAGAGUUUGAAGAAGAAGACUCUUUCAAAGAAGUGUCAUACAAGAAGAGACCCAAGAAAAGGGUGGAACCGGUUGUCACUUCUAGGAUGAGCCUCAGAAACAGGGAGAUGGCGACUGUACCAAUUCCUAAAAGAGCUGAAUUGUUAACUCAAAAGAAGAAUCUGGAGUGCACAGCUAAUAUUUCUCUAGGGAAGAAUGCUGUGGAUGUUAGUAGUAACAUAGAUACCAUUAAGGAAAAAGAGCUGGUUCAAGCCAAGCUGGCUGAAUUGAGAUGGAAACAGGAAAAGGAGAAAGAGGAAGUCCCAGUCAAUGAGAGUUUGAGAAACUCAUCAGUGGAGGUAGUAAGCCCCAUUGUUGAUGAG